CAGCAGCCACGGUAAUACGUAGGGUGCAAGCGUUAAUCGGAAUUACUGGGCGUAAAGCGUGCGCAGGCGGUCCGCUAAGACAGAUGUGAAAUCCCCGGGCUUAACCUGAGAACUGCAUUUGUGACUGGCGGGCUAGAGUAUGGCAGAGGGGGGUAGAAUUCCACGUGUAGCAGUGAAAUGCGUAGAGAUGUGGAGGAAUACCGAUGGCGAAGGCAGCCCCCUGGGCCAAUACUGACGCUCAUGCACGAAAGCGUGGGGAGCAAACAGGAUUAGAUACCCGCGUAGUCCCUGUCUCUUAUAC
rnacentral:rRNA from 1 species